UUGUUUGCAGAUGUAGCAUCAUCAAGAUUCAUACAUGAAAAUUAAGAGGCAAGGUUAUAUAUGUAGCUUUAAUUGAAAUGAAAAAUAAAAUAUAUCAUGACCAUGUCUAUUUAUUUUAAAGUGAGAAUCUUGAUGAUGCUGCAUCAGCAAUAAA
rnacentral:pre_miRNA from 1 species